AAAAUAAACGUGUAUUCAAACAUUUAACUCUAAAAAUUAGGUUGCGGCUAAUCUCUCUCUUUUUUAUUCAUUUUUCCUCCAUUUUCCCACAAAAUCUCAAUGCCUCUCUUCGUUCUUUCAUGUACGUUUCAUUUUCUCUCUAUGGUUGUUCUUUCUACCCACCAAUAUCACUGUCCUUUUCUUUUUUCUUUUUAAAAUCUUGUUUUGCCUUUUCUGUUUCUAUCUAGAUCUGGGAAUUUUGUUCUGUUUUCGAGAUUAGCUUCAAAUUGUUACAAUUUGUGCCUCAGAUCUAACUCUAAGCAUAAACAAAGAGGAACCCAGAAAGGUAAAAUUACUGAAAAAGAAGAAAAAAUCCUAAAAAGUCUAUCCACUUGUCCAAUCUACGUAUGUUUCUGAUACCUAAAAAUUAGUUUAUUUUCAUGAUUAUGUACAUGUUGAACUAUGAAUAUUUAUUUGGUGAAAUGUUCCUUAAUUUUUUUGGUAACAAUUUCAGAUCCACCAACGUAAGUGUGCGUGAACCUUUUUUUUUUGUUUUUAUUUUCUUUGUUUAUCUGUAAUGUGAGCUCUGUGUAUAGGCUUUUGGGUUCUGGGAGUCUAGGGUAAAAAAUCAAUUGUUUUUGUUUUCGGUAGUUUGUGAAAUUUUCGUUGAGUUAUUGUUCAUGUUGUGAUGAUAAUGGUAAAAAAUCAAUCGCUUUGGCUGUUUAUCCGUGAAAUUAAAUUUUUUUUUCCAUGUAAUCUGUUCUAUCCUCUAUCUUUCAUGCUUCAAGGAAAGCCUCGAAAUAGUUCGAUUUUGACACACUAAAUGUCAAUGCAAUUAUUCAUAUCAUGCUCUAUGCCAAAGAUCAUAUCUACUGGACGGUGAUGGAUAUAUAUUUUGUUUCUUAGAUCGGUAUCCAAAUACAUCGGUUCUUUUUAGCAUAACUCGGGGAAGUUAACAUUUGAUUCUUUUUUUCGGUAACUGAUACACUUAAAGGAUAUGAUCGAUUGCUGAAUUUUUUGUUGGAUGAAGCAACAGAGUUUCUUAGAGUUAAUUGAUACAUGUCCAAUCUUUUAUGGCUCGUUAUACUCCAAAUUCUAUAGAAUUCUUGUAGGUAGUAUGUUAAACGAGAUUAUUUUCAUUGUUGAAACAUGUCUUAGUUGCCAUACGUUAACAAGUUAAUUAUGCUUGCUCUUUGUCGAACUAUUGGUAUUUAUUCUAGCAAUUUGAGCUUAUUGUAUUAUUACAUUGCAUCUUAAAUAUUUUAGGUGAAUUUUUUCUUAUACCUGCAAAUUUUUUAAAAUUAAUCUUUUUUUAAUAUCGCAGUAAAGAACAGUGUAGAGGAGUGCACUAUGUACUUAAAUUGCGAAUUCCUUUUAAAGUUUUAAAGUUCAGUACUCGAAUAUUUUGAUGAGUUAAGUUAUUUGAUUUUAUAAAAGCAAUAGCUUGAUGAGUUAAUUGUUUUUCUUUUUCUUUGUCUGAAUUGCAGGUGUCAUUUUUUCUUCGAAAUUGCCAAUAUGCGUGGCUUGAAUAUGCUAAGCGAAUUCCUUUUAAAGUUCAAUACUUGAAUAUUUUGAUGAGUUAAGUUACAUGAUUUAUAAAAGCAAUAGCUUGAUGAGUUAAUUGUUUUUCCUUUUCUUUGUGUGAAUUGUAGGUGUAAUUUUUUCUUGGGAUAGUGCCAAUUUGUGUGGCUUAGAUAUACUCAAAAGUAUAUGAAGUACAAAAAAAUUCCUCAUCGAAACCGUGAGUCAGAAAAGCUAUCUAGAUCUUUGAUUAAAUUUGAACCUAAAUUGCUACAAUAAUUAAGACAAAUGUGUGGAACAUUAUGUGUGAAAAUGUUUUAAGUAAUAUAUUAUGUUUGCUUGUAGAUGCAUUUGUUGAACGGUAUGGAUAUUUGGUAUAUCAGUUGCUUGAAUAACUAUUUUUUUAAUUUUUUUGUAUUUAUGAGAUAGAGAUUUUGUUGAAUUUAAUGAAUGUGUUCUCUUGUGUGAAUUCUAACUAAAGCCAAAAGGCUCAAAACUAUAGUGACGAACAUUGUGCUAAUGUACAGCUCUCUAUUUUUUCAUCCAAUUCUUUGGGAUAUUGUUACAUUAGUAAUUUACUUCAAAUCCAGAUAGAUGUCUGACCAAUUUGGGAAGUGUAGAAAGUCGAGUCAUAAUUCUUGCUUGUUGAAAUUGAGAAAACCAGACAUUUUGCCUCACUAUGGACAUGAUGUGUUUUUUUAUUGGAGUCAGUUUCGUAAUUUAUAAUUAUAUGCUUAUAAAUUAUUUAAUAUCACUUGGAUCAUUCUUUCUUUUUGUUUGUUGAUUAUAUCUCUAUAAAAUAGCUGAAAAUAGUUGUUCCCUUUUCCUAUAAUACUAUGUAACUUUUUCCGGUUUAGUGCAAGACAAUUUUUCCAAAAAAUGAACCAAGUACGUUUCAAUCACAAUGUAGAACCUACAAGUCAUGUUAAUAAGCAUUCUGAGCAUUUGUUAAAAAAUUGUUCAAGUGCCAAAUGUCAAUAUAUUAUAUUCAUUUAGUCACAAAUGAUGAGGUAUUGUGAGUAGAACUAUACUUUUAAAACUCAUAUUAACAUCUAUAACUUAUGCUAACAAUUGCUCCCAAUUGUUAACUAGCAUUUGUUUAUAGAAAAAUGUUGAGGGUUCUCAGGGGGCAUUCAUUUGGACGUGGUAUAUCUAUUAGAAUGAGUGGUUAAGACUUGUCUUAAUUUACACAAGUUAGCUCGUACUUCAUGACACAUAUGAGUCUGAUAUCAAUACAUUUAGUUAGGUUACUAUCUCUAGGUUGGCAUUUUAAUAUUUGAAAUGAUGAUUUUCUCAUGGAUGCUUCCCGUACAUUUGUUUUAGGAAAAUUUUACUGGUAUAUAUUUGAUAGGAUCCUGCAACAGUAGCUGUUCGAUACACAGAAUCAAGGGCAAAAAGAGGACAUAAAUAGAGCAAGAAGAAUCUGACAGAAUUGUAAUAUGUAUUCUAUAUUCUGAAGUGCUGUAAAUUCAAAUACAUUUUAAUAGAAAGAUAAUACAAAUAUGUAAGAUUGAUGAAAUGUAUUCCAACUCUAAUGCAAAAGAAAUAAUAAGUAUUUGGCAUUCGAGAGGCCAGUUCUCUCCCCUAGAUCCUUCUCCAUAUCUUCUCUAUUUGGCUAUUAUCUACCUAUAUUUAUAGCAUACAUGUAACUACUUUUCCCCCAACUAAUUUUACCCUCUAAUAGACUUUAGUUUUCCACCAUUUGCAGGUUAUUCUUCUUCUGGGUCCUUCUAGAUUAUGUGAGGUAGAUUGGAGCAUAUCAGUAUUCUACUUCAAUUGUACCCUUUCAAAUAAUACCUUCAAGAUUAGACUUUUACCGUCUCGUUUACAUGCCCUGCAACUUCAUUUCUACUUUUUCCUUGUAGAGUAGUUUUGUUUAUUAGAUGAAAUUUGUUUUGUAUGACAGACGUUUUAGGUUUAGCUUUAAGCAAGAGCCAUUUAACUGUAUUCAAUUGAUGGAAAGAAAGAUAACAAUUAGUUAUAAAGGCAAAGGCAGAAUUGGUCUUGUUGAUAACACGUCAGAAAAUGAAGUGAGGCAAAUAUUGGUAGACACAAUUUAUAUAAUUCAAUGUAAUCUUCAUUCAAUGCAGGGUUAAUUUUCCACUGAAAUCUUACAAAUCCAAAAUUCAACAUUAUUACUUACACUAAAUCACCCACUACACGUGCAAUGCGUGUGCAUUCACUAGUCUAUAGUGAUAGGGAUGUAUCAAAAGUGG
rnacentral:lncRNA from 1 species